UGAGGAAUAUUGGUCAAUGGGCGCAAGCCUGAACCAGCCAUCCCGCGUGCAGGAAGACGGCGCUAUGCGUUGUAAACUGCUUUUCCAGGGGGAGAAACUUGCGCACGUGUUGCGCAAUUGACGGUACCCUGGGAAUAAGCAUCGGCUAACUCCGUGCCAGCAGCCGCGGUAAUACGGAGGAUGCAAGCGUUAUCCGGAUUCAUUGGGUUUAAAGGGUGCGUAGGCGGACUAUUAAGUCAGUGGUGAAAUCCUGCAGCUUAACUGCAGAACUGCCAUUGAUACUGAUAGCCUUGAGUUUGGUUAAGGUAGGCGGAAUGUGUAAUGUAGCGGUGAAAUGCUUAGAUAUUACACAGAACACCAAUUGCGUAGGCAGCUUACUGAGCCGACACUGACGCUGAG
rnacentral:rRNA from 1 species